UAACCAUGCAAGUCGAGCGGAUGAGAAGAGCUUGCUCUUCGAUUCAGCGGCGGACGGGUGAGUAAUGCCUAGGAAUCUGCCUGGUAGUGGGGGACAACGUUUCGAAAGGAACGCUAAUACCGCAUACGUCCUACGGGAGAAAGCAGGGGACCUUCGGGCCUUGCGCUAUCAGAUGAGCCUAGGUCGGAUUAGCUAGUUGGUGAGGUAAUGGCUCACCAAGGCGACGAUCCGUAACUGGUCUGAGAGGAUGAUCAGUCACACUGGAACUGAGACACGGUCCAGACUCCUACGGGAGGCAGCAGUGGGGAAUAUUGGACAAUGGGCGAAAGCCUGAUCCAGCCAUGCCGCGUGUGUGAAGAAGGUCUUCGGAUUGUAAAGCACUUUAAGUUGGGAGGAAGGGCAGUAAGCGAAUACCUUGCUGUUUUGACGUUGCCGACAGAAUAAGCACCGGCUAACUCUGUGCCAGCAGCCGCGGUAAU
rnacentral:rRNA from 1 species